GGCACGGUGGCGUAGUGUUUAACACGUUUGCCUCCAGGCAUUGGGGGUUCGAAUCCCACCUCUGCCA